UACAGAGGUCUCGAGCGUUGUUCGGAUUCAUUGGGCGUAAAGGGCGCGUAGGCGGCGGGGUAAGUCUGGUGUGAAAUCUCGGAGCUCAACUCCGAAACUGCACUCGAUACUGCCGUGCUUGAGGACUGGAGAGGAGACUGGAAUUUACGGUGUAGCGGUGAAAUGCGUAGAUAUCGUAAGGAAGACCAGUGGCGAAGGCGGGUCUCUGGACAGUUCCUGACGCUGAGGCACGAAGGCCAGGGGAGCAAACGGG
rnacentral:rRNA from 1 species